GCCCUCUUGGCUCAGUGGUAGUAGCGCGUCACUAGUAUUUCUCUACAUAUGACGAGGUCGGUCGUUCAAAUCGGCCAGGGGGCA